UACGUAGGGAGCAAGCGUUGUCCGGAAUCAUUGGGCGUAAAGGGCGCGUAGGCGGCACUGUUAGUCAGGCGUGAAAGUCCUGGGCUCAACCUGGGAACUGCGCUUGAUACGGCAGAGCUAGAGGAUGGAAGAGGGUCGCGGAAUUCCCAGUGUAGAGGUGAAAUUCGUAGAUAUUGGGAAGAACACCGGUGGCGAAGGCGGCGACCUGGUCCAUUACUGACGCUGAGGCGCGACAGCGUGGGGAGCAAACAGG
rnacentral:rRNA from 1 species